UUAACUCAAAUUUUUGUGGAGUUGUAAUGUUUGCAUAUGUUUGCCGCUAGGGGCGCUGUUGCAACUGCAUACUUUGAGCUA
rnacentral:pre_miRNA from 1 species